CCUACGGGAGGCAGCAGUGCGGAAUAUUGGUCAAUGGGCGCGAGCCUGAACCAGCCAAGUAGCGUGAAGGAUGAAUGCCCUACGGGUUGUAAACUUCUUUUAUAAAGGAAUAGAGUGAGGCACGUGUGCCUUUUUGUAUGUACUUUAUGAAUAAGGGUCGGCUAACUCCGUGCCAGCAGCCGCGGUAAUACGGAGGAGCCGAGCGUUAUCCGGAUUUAUUGGGUUUAAAGGGAGCGUAGAUGGGUGGUUAAGUCAGGUGUGACAGUUUGCGGCUCAACCGUAAAAUUGCAAUUGAUACUGGCAGCCUUGAGUACAGUUGAGGUAGGCGGAAUUCGUGGUGUAGCGGUGAAAUGCUUAGAUAUCACGAAGAACUCCGAGUGCGAAGGCAUCUUACUAAACUGCCACUGACAUUGAUGCUCGAAAGUGUGGGUAUCAAACAGGAUUAGAUACCCUAGUAGUC
rnacentral:rRNA from 1 species